CCUUGGAGGUCAGCCCUUGGGGGUCAAUCCUUGGAGGUCAAUCCUUGGGGGUCAGCCCUUGGGGGUCAAUCCUUGGAGGUCAAUCCUUGGGGGUCAAUCCUUGGAGGUCAAUCCUUGGAGGUCAGCCCUUGGGGGUCAGCCCUUG